rnacentral:rRNA from 1 species
AGAAUCAACGCUGGCGGCGUGCCUAACACAUGCAAGUCGCACGAGAAAGGGGAGCAAUCCCUGAGUACAGUGGCGCACGGGUGAGUAACACGUGAAUAAUCUACCUCCGAGUGGGGGAAUAACUGAGAGAAAUCUUAGCUAAUACCGCAUAACACUUACGAGUCAAAGCAGCAAUGCGCUUGGAGAGGAGUUCGCGGCAGAUUAGUUAGUUGGCGGGGUAAUGGCCCACCAAGACGAUGAUCUGUAUCCGGCCUGAGAGGGCGCACGGACACACUGGAACUGAAACACGGUCCAGACUCCUACGGGAGGCAGCAGUGGGGAAUUUUGCGCAAUGGGGGAAACCCUGACGCAGCAACGCCGCGUGGAGGAUGAAGCCCCUUGGGGUGUAAACUCCUUUCGAUCGGGAAGAUAAUGACGGUACCGAUAUAAGAAGCCCCGGCUAACUUCGCGCCAGCAGCCGC